rnacentral:rRNA from 1 species
GUCUACAGCCAUGUCACCCUGAACAAGCCCGACGUCUGAUCUCCGAAGUUCAGCAGGGUCGGGCCUGGUUAGUACUUGGAUGGGAGACCACUUAGGAAAGACCAGGUGCUGUAGGCA